UCGCAUAAGGCCUCCACCUCUUCCAUAGAAUGUGCUGAAAGCAUAAAAUCAAAUUUUAUCAUGUUAUGGAAUCAAAUAUAACACAGGCUAGCUAAUAUAUCUAAAGCAUAAACAAUAAGUAGAAUAUAGUGCGACAAAAAUCAAUAGAAGAUAGAUAGACAUAAAGACUACAAUCCAUCAAACUUUCUUAUCUUUGAAAUUAUUUAAAUUAAACUUUCGUACUGUUUCCCUCCUCCUAGUAUAACAACUCUUCAUUUUUUCAACCCUCAAAACACAGAUGUGGGUCAGAGAAGUAACAAAGUGUCCUCCCCUGUUUGGUUGUUGAUAUAUAUUAUAUGCUUAAUCAAUAUCUAUCUAAUUAUUUUAAAUUGGACAGUGCUGAAAAGCUUUUUUAUACCGUUUGAAAUCUCUACCACCAAGAUAGGGACUUGUUCAAGGACACACUUAAAUUAAAUUAGUACAAACUAACAAUAAAAAAAGUAUGCAGAAAAGAAAAGGAGUAUGUGUAAGGAAUAUAUUAUUAUUAUAAGAACAUAAUGAUAGCAAAAGAACAUCCAAUAACAAGGAAAGUAAGGAAAAAGAAGGACAAGCACAAUGAAACUGUCAUCAUUAUAAGUUCACUAUCCAAAACAGCAACAUCAAACCAACCAAACUUUCUCUAGCUCUUAUCUAUCUUUUUAUUUCCCUUUAAAUUCAUAACUCUUCCCCCACAAACCAACACUACUCUUCAUCAAUAUUGCACUAUACUAAAACAACACCUAUACUCUAAAUACCAAAUUUCUAGCUACAUGAAACUACCUAUAGAAACAGAGUGGUGUGUACCAAAUAAUGUUGUGGACAUUAUGUGCAUGGAUAACCAAAUGUGAGGCACUGAUAACAAGAUCAGUGAUAUAAAAAAUUAUGAGAUCUCGUACGAAAUAAACAAAACAAAGCAAUAGAAAUCUUAGAACUGAAAAAAAAAAGUGAGAGCAAGACGAGAGAAAUGAAGAACUCACCGAUCAGAGGAUGAACAAGAAGCUGGUGAGGAAGAAGUAACAACGAAUAGAUUCUUUUCUUCCCAUUCUCUUCCAAACCUAACAACAAUUCUCAAUUCUCAACUAACAACUCUUUUUUUUUUNNN
rnacentral:lncRNA from 1 species